UUGACGGGGAGCACCGCAACGGGUGGAGCUUGCGGUUUAAUUGGAUUCAACGCCGGAAAUCUUACCGGGACCGACAGCAAUAUGAAGGCCAGGCUGAAGACUUUGCCGGAUUAGCUGAGAGGUGGUGCAUGGCCGUCGUCAGUUCGUACUGUGAAGCAUCCUGUUAAGUCAGGCAACGAGCGAGACCCACGCCCACAGUUGCCAGCGUACUCUCCGGAGUGACGGGUACACUGUGGGGACCGCCGCUGCUAAAGCGGAGGAAGGAAUGGGCAACGGUAGGUCAGUAUGCCCCGAAUAUCCCGGGCUACACGCGAGCUACAAUGGUUGGUACAAUGGGUAUCUACCCCGAAAGGGGACGGGAAUCUCCUAAAACCAAUCUUAGUUCGGAUUGAGGGCUGCAACUCGCCCUCAUGAAGCUGGAAUCCGUAGUAAUCGCGUUUCAACAGAACGCGGUGAAUACGUCCCUGCUCCUU
rnacentral:rRNA from 1 species